rnacentral:misc_RNA from 1 species
UUGAACAAAAAGUCCAAGCAGAUAAGCCAGCAUGAUUCCGAUUGUGACAGAGAGCUGAUUCACAGACCCCAAAGCCCCUCUCAAGUUUUGAGGUGCUAUCUCUGCUAUAUAUACAGGCACCGUGUAUGAGAUAAUUCCUACACCAAAACCUUCCAAUAACCUUCCCAUGUAGAGAAAAGAAGAAUCUCUAGCAAAAGAUAUAGCAAGCCACCCAAUAAUAUUAGGAAUAGCAGCGAUCAUUAAAGAUCCUUUUCGUCCAAUAUACUCGGAAAUCUGACCGCUAGCUAUAGCCCCAACCAUAGCACCCACAUU